rnacentral:rRNA from 1 species
UAUCCUACGGGGCGCAGCAGUGGGGAAUAUUGGGCAAUGGGCGCAAGCCUGACCCAGCAACGCCGCGUGAAGGAAGAAGGCUUUCGGGUUGUAAACUUCUUUUCUUGGGGACGAAGAAAGUGACGGUACCCAAGGAAUAAGCCACGGCUAACUACGUGCCAGCAGCCGCGGUAAUACGUAGGUGGCAAGCGUUAUCCGGAUUUAUUGGGUGUAAAGGGCGUGUAGGCGGGAUUGCAAGUCCGAUGUGAAAACCACGGGCUCCACCUGAGGCCUGCAUUUGAAACUGUAGUUCUUUCGUGCUUGAG